CAUCAGGCUGAGUGAAGCUUCAAGUGCCCCCAUUAACCAGCCCUGAUUAAAUCAGCUGGGCUCCUCCUAGGGACGAACCAUGCAAACAGAGACCAAUGAUAAUAACUUGUCUCCAGGCUGCAGUCACUCCAACUGCCCAUGAGCAGAAAGAUGAUGCAAUGGAAUCUUGCAAAUUCCAGAAGCCAAGGCUGUAUCCCUGUCUCAUUCAGAAGGAGAAAAGGGCGGCUUCUUCUUCAAGCAGCCAACCACUCAGCCAGCCCUUGUCGGGCUCCUGCCGUGUACCAGGCUGCGCCAGGAUUCAGGAUGUCUGAGGACUUGAUGGAUCACCUGGGGUCAGAGGAGGGUAGCUUCCCUCACUCGGAUGUUGUCGGGCUGGGCCUCCUGCCAGAUGUUAGGCUCCCAGAAAGGAUGAGACCCAAGCCCAGUG